rnacentral:rRNA from 1 species
GAUGAACGCUGGCGGCGUGCUUAACACAUGCAAGUCGAACGAUGAAGCCCAGCUUGCUGGGUGGAUUAGUGGCGAACGGGUGAGUAACACGUGAGUAACCUGCCCUUGACUCUGGGAUAAGCCUGGGAAACUGGGUCUAAUACCGGAUAGGAACGUCCACCGCAUGGUGGGUGUUGGAAAGAUUUAUCGGUCAUGGAUGGACUCGCGGCCUAUCAGCUUGUUGGUGAGGUAAUGGCUCACCAAGGCGACGACGGGUAGCCGGCCUGAGAGGGUGACCGGCCACACUGGGACUGAGACACGGCCCAGACUCCUACGGGAGGCAGCAGUGGGGAAUAUUGCACAAUGGGCGAAAGCCUGAUGCAGCGACGCCGCGUGAGGGAUGACGGCCUUCGGGUUGUAAACCUCUUUCAGUAGGGAAGAAGCGAAAGUGACGGUACCUGCAGAAGAAGCACCGGCUAAUUACGUG